CAAAAUGUAGCCUUAAGAAAAAGCAUCUCGCUUACACCGAGAAGACACCUGUGAGACCCGGGCCAUUUUG
rnacentral:tRNA from 1 species